rnacentral:ncRNA from 1 species
GGUCAUGUAACUGACGGAAGUGGGUAAACCACAGGGAGCAUGGCCCAAGACCGCCGACCGUCUGGGCAG